CAGUAGGGAAUCUUCGGCAAUGGACGAAAGUGAAUCCGAGCAAUGGGGGCAGACUGAUGAAGGUUUUCGGAUCGUAAAACUGAAGGCCAGGGAAGAAGGAAGAUGAGAGUAAGUGCUAUUCAUUGGCCGGUACCGGAGAAGAAAGCCCGGGCAAAUUAGGUGCCGGCAGCGGGGGUAAUAGGUGGGGGGCAAGGGUUUUCGGAAAUUAUUGGGGGUAAAGCGCGGUCGGGGGAUAUUUUAAUUUGGGGGUUUAUACCCAAGGUUCAACCUGGGGUCGCAUUGGAAACUGGGAGUCUGGAGUGUAGGAGAGGAAAGUGGAAUUCCGAGUGUAGAGGUGAAAUUCGUAGAGAUGUGGAGGAACACCAGUGGCGAAGGCGACUCUCUGGCCCAUAACUGACG
rnacentral:rRNA from 1 species